UCACACCACAGCAAUGCAGCUUCUGGAAACCCAUUGUGACAGUGCAGGGGGCCUGGAACGUUCCUGUGACUGGCUCUGGUGGGUGAGGCCUGCUGAGGCAUGUAGGUGACCAAGCAGUGCCCCCAAGGUCAGCUAAAGGGAUGGCUUUUAUCAUCCGCUGGUGAAAACUGAUGAACUGGUACUGAAUGUGACUGCGGUACCUCCUGGAAGACCAAGCGUCUCUAACCUGCUCCCGGGUCAGCAGCUCCCGGGCCUUGGAGGCUGCCUCUGAGUGCUCAGCAGGCUCACCCACGGACUUCCUGCUCUCUCAUGCCACCACGCCUUAGUCAAAGACUUUUACAUGCUUCCCUGCUCCUGCUAUUGAACGUGGCUUGGGACUGCUAUGGAGCUCACUCUGGCCCAUUUUUCACCAUCAUGUAACUGACUCAGCCUUUCAAUUUCCACUCCAAAUUCCUCUGCCUGGUGGAUUUCUGUCUCUGUAAUAACUAAAUGUGGCUGGCCAGACUUGGGAGUGGUGGGACAGAAUCAUAAAGAACCCUAGACUGUUCCUCCUAGAGGUGUGGGUAAAGCAGAUUCUCGAAGGAAGGAGGUUACAACUAUUUUUGGAAAAAUUGCCCUGGAGAGAAAACUGAAAACUGGAUAAACAGAACCCUCACAACAAGGGACAGUCUUGACUGAGGUGGAAGAGGCAGAAAUUCCUUCUGGAGAGAAAAAAAUACCACCUUUGUGAGACCCAGAGAUUCACAGCUGGCCAGGCAGGAGCCAUCCUAAGAUGUUUGCAAAAUCCGUGGACCUGAGUUAUAAUGACGUGUGCUGCUAAUAGAUGGUAUCAUUUAGCAUGCAAAGUAGUACACUUCCCUAAAUUUCAGUGCUUAUUUCACUCGAUGUGCCAAUCAGCUGCCUCAUUUGGGCUCCUGAAGAACCAGAAUUUUCAGCUCCGCUGGCCUGGAUUCCUUGUCUCGUCAGCACAAUCCUCUGCUGCUCCAGAGUUUGGCUAUUGCGGGAACUCAGCUUCUGUUCAUCUUUCCUGCCCCUGCUCUCAUCAAGCCUGACUUUGUCAUUCAAGUGGAAGAUUUGACUGGCCAGCCAAUUCCAACCUACUAGUGUCCUCCAGCUGUCUAUGGGUGGGACCACUGUCUACAAAGUGACCACAUGCCAGAGCUUAUAGACUGGGGUCCCACCUUUGUCCAGGGAAUGUGGCCCAGCCAACUGUUUUGGGAUGUUUGUGACAACUGUGCAAAUUAUGGCCACUUUUUCCAUAAGAAAUUGUACAUGUGGCCAACACUCAGAGCGUUAUAUCUCUUAAACAGGUUUAGUAGUUCAGUGUUAAAUUAUUUUCUAAUUUUGUAAAAUUGGUAGUGAAUCUUAUAUGUAAACUCUAUUAACUUGAAUUUUAUGUCAGAACACUACCUAUCAUGGGUGUCAGUGGAUACUUAAUAAUUGCUAACUUUAUUAAGUACUUACCAUUGCAAAUAUAUCUCCUUUAAAUUUAACAAGUACUCUGUGAGUAAGAUACUUUUAUCCCCAUUUCACGGGUAAAGAAACUAAGGCUCAGGGAGGUUUAUCAACUUGCCUAAAGUCACAUGAUUAAGUCGUUCAACCAGAAUGUGAACCUAAGUUGGUGAGGUCUCAAAGCCAAG
ensembl:lncRNA